GCGCCUGUAGCUCAGGGGAUAGAGCAACGGACUUCUAAUCCGUUGGCCGCAGGUUCGAUUCCUGCCAGGCGCACCA
rnacentral:tRNA from 1 species